UGGGGAAUAUUGCACAAUGGGGGAAACCCUGAUGCAGCCAUGCCGCGUGUGUGAAGAAGGCCUUCGGGUUGUAAAGCACUUUCAGCGAAGAGGAAAGGUCAGUAGCUAAUAUCUGCUGGCUGUGACGUUACUCGCAGAAGAAGCACCGGCUAACUCCGUGCCAGCAGCCGCGGUAAUACGGAGGGUGCAAGCGUUAAUCGGAAUUACUGGGCGUAAAGCGCACGCAGGCGGUUGGAUAAGUUAGAUGUGAAAGCCCCGGGCUCAACCUGGGAAUUGCAUUUAAAACUGUCCAGCUAGAGUCUUGUAGAGGGGGGUAGAAUUCCAGGUGUAGCGGUGAAAUGCGUAGAGAUCUGGAGGAAUACCGGUGGCGAAGGCGGCCCCCUGGACAAAGACUGACGCUCAGGUGCGAAAGCGUGGGGAGCAAACA
rnacentral:rRNA from 1 species